rnacentral:rRNA from 1 species
UGGGGAAUAUUGGACAAUGGGCGAAAGCCUGAUCCAGCCAUGCCGCGUGUGUGAAGAAGGUCUUCGGAUUGUAAAGCACUUUAAGUUGGGAGGAAGGGCAUUUACCUAAUACGUAAGUGUUUUGACGUUACCGACAGAAUAAGCACCGGCUAACUCUGUGCCAGCAGCCGCGGUAAUACAGAGGGUGCAAGCGUUAAUCGGAAUUAUUGGGCGUAAAGGGUGCGUAGGUUGUUUGAUAAGAUAUAUGUGAAAUACCUGGGCUCAACCUGGGAAGGUCAUAUAAGACUGUCAGACUCGAGUAUGGGAGAGGGUAGAGGAAUUUCCUGUGUAGCGGUGAAAUGCGUAGAUAUAGGAAGGAACACCAGUGGCGAAGGCGACCACCUGGACUGAUACUGACACUGAGGUGCGAAAGCGUGGGGAGCAAACAGGAUUAGAUACCCCCGUAGUCCCUGAGCGGGCUGGCAAGGCGCAU